GCUCUGCUCGGAGGAUCUCGCCGGCUUCCUUCGCCCCGUUUUAUUUGUAUUGUUUUGUUCGGAGAGAGAGAAGCGAAGGGAAGGGAAGGGGAAAAGGAGGAAGCAGAAACACGCGCAACCGUCUGCCCUCACUUGCAGAUGUGCACCAAAAAGACACAUUCAAGAUGCUUUUCUAAGGUGAUGCAAGCAGCGGAUUCAUCUUGUGAAAUAGGAGAAUGAAACCAGCACCACUGAGGCAAGGCAGUUUUGCUGGAUCCUGGAGUGCAUGGAGUCCUCUCUGUCCUGGCUUACGACUGCCACAUCUUUGAAAGCAGGAGUCAUGCCAACUCCCCUCUUCUUUCCUUUAUCUGUUCUGCAUGGAUUAUCACUGAACUGUGAGCUGUCCUGUCAUUAUCCCUGGCCAACUGUCACUUAGACUGGAAGGUCCAUCAUUUCAUCGCAUCCCUAAAAGGAGAGUCAGAAGGCAGGAAACAUUAACUCUUGUUGCUGCCUUGUGAAGAUCCUCCCUCAUUUUUUAACAAUGUAAAUUUAUGCUUUUAUUCAUGUUAUAUAUAUAUAUAUAUAUAUAUAUAUAUAUAUAUAUAUAUAUAUAUAUAUAUAUAUAUAUAUAUAUAUAUAUAAUAGAAGAAUUAACUUUUAUUUCCUUUCGAUAAUUUGUAUUACUUAUGUCAAUCCGUUGCCACCCCUGAUUAACGGUUCGUGGUCAGAUUGUAAACAACGUCUCAAUUUAUGCCUAAUAAAGGUUAUUAUAUUGUAUACUA